AGACAUUGACAGUCUUGUCAAUGUUCCCAGUAAAUUAAUGUGAAGGUCCUUAGGAAGAGACGGAAAACACCCCUUGCCAUUAAUCUUAAACCACUUGAAGAUUAUGAUUAAAAGAAUGGGAUCACUAAGCAUUACCAUCUCAAGUAGCUGUUAACUGCCCCCAUCCCUUUAUUGUGGCAACAAAAUAAACUCUUCACUAAGAAUGAUGUUUCUUCCUUUUUUAUCUUUGUUUUUGUUUUGCUUUAAGGGCAAAGAAGGGAAAACAGAAGCAAAGAAAACUGUUUCGAAAGUCUUGGAAUUGCUACUGUUAAAAGGCUGCGGUUCAUUUCUGAUUUCCUCAUCUUUUGCUACAAAGGAAAAAGAAAUCCAAUGAUGUGUCUACGUUUGAUGAGAAGAAAACACGAACAACAGCAGCGUAGGUUCGAAAGUCAUUGUGCAGAGAGGGCAGGAGUGAAUUAAGGCCCCGGGGACCGCGGACGCCGGGCCAGGAGACCGCCUGAAAUAUGAGCCGAACCUGUUUUGUGAGAUGCACUUGGGUUUGGGGGUCAGGGUCGAAGGCUUCAAAGCCCUUGGUCUGCACGUGUGAAAAAUCUCUGUCUUCCUCCCUCCCUCCUGCUCCUCCUCUUCCUCUCUUUCUCCCUGUUCCGCUUUCUCCUCACCUUUCCCAGAAUUGAUGCUAAUUUCCUCUCCCCCUCCUCUAUUUUGCUUGUCUUUGUGUAUUUCAUGCUGAUCCAUUUAGUACAAAGUAUUUCUCUUAAACACACACAUAAGAGACUGUGUGUGGGGGCUGACUGUGUCAGCCCAAUCACCUUUUGAAACCCAAGAGAAUUGGGAUGUUGAAGAUAGUGAGGACACUGUGUACACACAUAGACAAUGUAUUGUGAGGGUUAUUUCUAUGCCAGUAAUGAGCCAGUCCCGGUCACUGUGCAAAAGUUUUAGCUUUAACACAAGUUAUCAUUCACAAUAUUUAUUUGGCAUUGUCCAAAGUCUUCUCAACUUCAUUUGUUCAAACUCUUCUCAGCUUCAAACUCUCCGCUUUGCCAGGUGAACACAAUCUCAAGCAGGCGUGAUGUUUAAAAAAUAAAAAUAUCACAACUCAUAAUUUCCCUUCUUACAGAAAAGCCAAAUCGAUGCAAAAAAAAAAGCCCUUCAUUCUCACCUGGACGAAAGAGUUGGAGAGAGGGCAGGCCGCCCGGCCAGAGGAGUGGGCACUGGCAGCUGAGCUGGUACUCUAGAGUCCAGCACCCUGAGCCCACCUCUCUAGGGUGAACCUCCGCCCGGCCACUCCAGCCCCCCUCUUCCGGACAGCCCCUCUCCCCGGUGCUGGAGAACAAAGAAAGUUCUUGGGAUUGAGGCACAAAAAGGGUUAAAUGAACCCCAAGCUGUAAGUGUGUCUAUUCCAGACCCCUAGGUGAGGCGACAGUAGCUGGGUCUGAUGCGCGUCUCUGAGCUCCACAAACUGACUUGGUCUAGGGUUCCUUAGCUUUGUACACCCUCUUUCUCACUCACCCCAUUACACACACACACACACAGACACACACACACACACACACACACACGCAUGCGGUGACCUAGGCACGUGUGUCCACAAACAUCCACAAAGCUCUGUAAUUGCUGUCUCUUCUUCCCUGACCCGAUCCUAUCCCAGUCCUUCCUACCCCGCUGCCCUCGCCCGCCUCCACAGCAGCUGGACUCACACAAAAAAGGGAAGAACAUUAAAACAAGCAAAAAUCCAUUUGCAAACCCCUCUCAAAUCCCCCCGGCUGAGGAGGAGCACAGCUGGCUCCCCCGAGGCAGGAAGUUGGGGUGCAGCAGGCCAGGGAGCAGGGUUCCUCCCGGCUCUGGGCCUUGCAGUGCCACCUCUCACAGAGCGUGGGGGUUGGGUGAGGUGAAGGGGUGCUUUUCACUUUCCCCUCCCCCGCGCUCUUCGCGGGCUUUUGGGAAUGGAGUUAGGAAGAGAUCCCACGUCUUCAGGACCCCACGACUCUCAGGACCUGGAGAAGCAGCGUAGGGCGGGCGCCUCCGAGCUGCCACAGUGGGACUGCACCGGAACCCACGUCCGCCGGCGAGAAAGUCUGCACCGAGGACGGCCGCGUGGAACUCCUGCAGGGCUCAGCCCGCAGAACCCUUUAAAGACAGAGAAGCUCGCUGGGCAGUGCUCAGGCCCAGCCCAACCUAGCAGUCUAGCAUUUGGGUGGCACCAGGAUGGAGGGCUGCCUCUGGCUCCAAAAGCAGGUUUGGAAUGCAGGAGAAAGGGUUACUGUCAGAGCCAGUCUCUCUCCUCUCUCCUCUCUCAAGAGCCAGAUUUAGAAUGCAGGAGAAAGGGUGACACAGCCAGUCUCUCCCCUCUCCCCUCUCCCCCCACCCUCUCUCUCUCUUUCUCUCCCACUCCCCCUCUGCCAUUCCUAGAUCUCUCUUCCCACGCCUUCGGAGGACAUGCCUGCAGGAGCUGCUGCCUUGUUUUGGUGACCUGGGAGAUCAACAGCAAGGACCCAGAAACACCCACAAGCUCUAAGUGGGUCUAAUUUUGCUUUUGAAAAGUAGUAGGAGAGGAAAGAGACUUUAUUACCAAACCGUGAGUUUUCCAAGAUGAUCCCCCUCAGCCAAGCAAAGUUGAGAAGGGUUUGACAGAGGCUGAGGACAAGACAGUUCCCUCCUAGCCCCUUCCACACCCCUACAAGAAACCUGGACGGAGCUUCCCCACCAGCUGAGGACUCCUUGUCAAGGCGCCUUGGGGUCCCCACCUGUGCCACUUACCCAGAUCACCAGGGCCUCUAGGAUCUCAGACCAUUCUCAUCCCGGAAGUAGCUGACUAGAUGAGGUCAGGUCGGGGAAACACUAGGAGGCCCAGUCAGUUUUGCUUCUCUCUCAUUUACCCUCCUCUUUUAAAGGUCAGUGGAGGAAAGGAGUUUUUCUUUUUCUUUCUUUCUUCUUUUCUUUUCUUUUUCUUUCUUUUGCAGUAAAUCAAAUGUAUAAUUGCAUUCACAUAGAAUUAAGAAGUCAAACAUAUCUGUUCUGCAAAUGCACUUAGACAUGUUUAAAGAGGGACUGCCCUGAACAUAGUCAGUUUUUAAAGAAUGAAACAGUUAAAUAAAGCUUUAAAGAUAAAUGUGAAGAGUGCCCAGUAUCCCCUUCCACUGCCUUUACAUAAAUUAGGUGGGUCUCAGGAAUAUCUCAGGUGUCAAGAGUUCUUAAAGCUAACUAACCAAUACACAAAAAUAACAGAUAAUCACAUGUUUAAAGUAAGUUACCCUCACAGAAGUUAGAGGUGAACGCCUAACUGCAGAGUGAAGCUUUUCCUGCUUCUUUAUUUAUCCAGGUCUCUUAAUUUUAAAACAGAUUAAAUAAUCUGCUCAAAAGGGUUGACACUGCCCACCAAAACAGAGUGAAGACAGUUGUUCAUACUUUGAAGCUGAUCCAAGAGCCUUGGGAGUUUUUGAAUUUUUAAAUGAAGUGUAAAUAGAAUAAGGUCACAGGUUAUUGACAAGAUCAAGUUGCUUAACUCAAUUAUCAAAAUUUUAUUUCAAAAUUAUGUUCAAUUUGAUUCUCCUGCUUUGCUCUAAAAGAUCUUAGAAAAUCCAAUAGGAGCAGACAAUUUACAUUGUGUCCUAUGUACUGUGGCUUAUUUGUAAAAUUAUUUUGUGAUACACACACACACACACACACACCUUCUUUAAUGUUUUUGAGGAAACCAAGUCUUUCCAAUUAGAUUUAGGAACACAGCUAUCACACUAAUUCAAAGGCAGUUACUUUGAAGAUUCAAUGAUCAUCAAAUUUUAACAAUUUUCUAAAAUAUGUCUAAAUUUCUAAACUGCAAGCAGGACCUGCAGGCUGUUCAGAAUCCAAUUUUCUGGAUAUUGGGCAUGCUGUAUUCAAUGUCCAGCUAAAUUCAGUGUCCACCUAUCGAAAUGCUAGAUAAGAGUGCAAUUUGUAAAUAUAUAUCCUACAACUCAUUUCUAACAUCAUAUCUUAACAUUCUCCUAUGCAUUAUUUAAUAGAUAACCAAACUCUUUGGAUUAAGGCUCAUGCUGCCACAUCUGGAAAUGCUUCCUUUGCAUUACCCACCACCACCUCCUCACCCCGCCCCAGCCACCAGUGAGAGAAAUAGCUGAAGCCUCCCCUUCCACCAUUAUAUGAUAGCAUCAGCUUUUAAUCAGUGAGAGGCACUCCCAUUUAAAUUUACAGGAUGACUCUUUAUUUCAUUUAUCUUUUCUUUUGGAGGAAAGUGAAACAAGAGCACCACCCUUAUUAAUUAUAAGAUUGAUGGGGUGAAAAAAGCCAAAUGAAUUUGGCUUGCAAAUUCUUAGUCUAGGUAUGAAUAUUUAUGACUGUGCCAGGAACUGCAGUCAUGAACCCUGGGUAUCAGGCAUGGGAGACAGUCAGCCCAGUGCAUUCAACGAGGGUUCAGUCUCCCCAAAUCUGACAUGACAUAAAUGGAAACAUUGAAAUUAGACACAGGGUGGGCUCCCAUUAAAUCAAUUUAUUUUCUUUCUUUUUCUUUUCUUUUCUUUCUUUUUUUUUUUUUUGUGGCUAGUCUUGCUAAACAUGAACUUGCUUCCAGUAGCUUCCUUCAUAAGCUUUAAAAACCUUUUAAAGUGAAGGAAGACAUUUAUAGAUUUUGUGAAGAAAAUUUUUGUUUUCCCCACUUGAUAUUCACUUAUGUUUCAAAGCAAGUUUAUCUGCAAAAUAUUUGUGACAUGCAGUUAAAAUUUUUUAAACUAUUUUUAUUCCAUUUAAAAAUAUUGGAAACCUAAAAUAUCCCGGGUAUAGGAAGGAUUUAAAUAGACAUGAUUCAAGUUCAAUGCAGAGAGAAAUGAGAGGGAAAAGAAAACAGCAAUGGGAGAGAUGAAAAGACAAGUUUUCUAUUUAUUUGCUUGUUUUCCUUUUUAUGCACCAGACUUAUGCGUUUUCAUUCCAAAGUGAGGAAAUUUAAAUGAAGGUGGAGGCAGAAAGCAUCAAGGUAGAAAGGAAAGGGUCAAAACAAGGAUUUAAUAAUUUGAAGACAAACUAUAUUCUCUUCUUUUCCUCCUCGUGAUUAUACAUUUAAGAGUUUUGUAGUGCUUUGGAAAAGAUGCUGGGGGUUUGAGAUUUAACGAGCUCAAAUACUGCCUCAUCACCGGUUUCUUUUCUGUAAAAGAAAUGUUGAGUGGGAGCUGACCCAAUCCUGUGAAAAUGGUUCAUUCUGACAUCAGAGCCAGCUUCGCACAUACAUUUUGAAAAGGAAGACAAGUUGUUUUCAAAACAGAAAUGCUAAGCAUUCUAAAAAGCAUAAGCAAUUUAAAAAAUGCUCCUCAAAUUUCCUGAAAAACUCCCAACGACAUAUAUAUAUAUUUCACAAUUGUAAGUGGAUAUUUGUGCUAAAUUGAUGCUUUAUGUAUAUCCUGUCUCAAUUUGUCUGUUCACUGUAAAGAUAUAAUUUUUUUAAGAAGCGAUACCACUGACAACAAUUUACUUAAAUUCACAAACCUUAAAAUUGAUGCCGCUCCUAUCAAUCACAUUCAGUAGAUACAGUAAAACACAUUCAACAUUUGUAUAUCAAUAGUGGCACAGACACAAAUCUGUUUUGUUCAAUUUGAAUGCUCUUCAACAUGUCAUUUCAUAUUUUUCUGGAACAUGUUAUGGGUUAGUCAUCCUGUUUCAGCUGAUUGUUAAAUCCUUAACCUAAUGAAAAUUCAAAAUAGAACAUUUACUUGUCAUGAGUUUCAGAGCUGAAUGGUGGACUUUAGGAACAAUUUGGACAACUUCUCUUACCAUUCCAGCGAAGAAUUGGAGGCCUAGUGAUGGCAACUGACCAGUCCAAUUCAUAAAACUAGUUAGCUCUAGUUUCUGACAAGAUCCCAAAGCUUUUAACUUAGGGCCAAUUUUUCUUAUUAUAUGGUGCUUUCCCAUUUUCUACCCUCUAUAAUCAAGUAGUAUUUAUAAUACUAUAUGCAGACUUUUUUACUAUUAUUUUUCCUUCCAGCACAUUGAUAAUGAAAUUUUUAUUAAAUAACAAGAAGAGAGGGAUGGGUCUGUCUGCUGAUAUGAAGAUCUGUUUUUGAUCUGUGAUGCUGUUUUAAUUAGGCAAAAACGAGAUCUAUCCUCUACCUGCAGGAUAAAUAGAUGCCAGUAUUGGCACAAAAACAAACUUUGUAUUUAUAGAAAUACCAAACUUCUCUAUUUAUUGGUUACAGUCAGCUCAGUCAAUCAAGCUAAAACCAGAUAUAAAUAGAAAUAACUGAGAAAGAUAAUUCAAAAUCUCUGAAGAAUGUUCACCAGGAAUAUUUAAAAGGAUACCAGAGUUCCUUGACUUCAACACUAAUAGCUGGCUUCUAGGUAACCUUCCCACCUGGCUCUUCUCUUCACCCCAAAUUGAAUCCUACACAUGCUCCAUAUUUUUUAUAUUAAGAAGUCCUAUUCAUGCCUGAAAUGAUCUUAUGUUUAUGAUGGCCCCUUCUGUCAAAUUGUUAUUUCUGUAGCCUGCUGUCAGAAGCGUCACUCAAAGUUUCCUUUCUACCUCUCUUUACCCUCUGUUAUAGUAACUUAGAAGGUCUAAUCCAAGUAGAACCUACUUCACCUAUAAAAUGAAACUAGAACUUUUUUCAUUUCCUGUCACCUACCUCUCUCCCUAACCAUCGCCCUGCACCCCCCAAGCUUUAUCUUGAUUCUGUUUGAGGCUGUUCACUGUUUCUCCUUGUGGUAAAAUUUUUCAUCCAAGCUGUUUCUCUUAAGUUUCGAGUACCUAAUUUUUGUGAGAAAAUGCAUGUAUAAAUAUUUUGGGCAUGUUUUCUGAAUCUGUGCUACUUAGGUUAAUACUCAGGCAAGAAAGAAAACAACAGUGAAAGUAAAAGACCCUCCAAUUACAGAAAGUUCUGGAGCAAAAAAUAGCAGAUACUUGAUUUUUUUAAAUAUAAAAAAUAAUAUAUCAAACUUGUUGAUGCUUAAAACUUUUUUUCUUUCUCAGUGGUCUCCUCUCUGCUAUGUUUCCAUUUCAUGAUUUUUGUAUGAAUAUGAUAAAUGGUCAUUAAGUCUAACCAGUUUUAUUUAAUGUUCAUAAAAACUGGUAGGUUUUCAAACAGAUGUGGCCUGAUAUGGUUCAGUGAAUUUAGUGGACUUCUCGUAUAAGUGAAAUAAUAACCAUACGGAAGAUGAAUUUUAUACCCUUGUUUACCUCUUCCAGACUCACCCUUAUUAUAAUUACAAAUAGUGUUUAUUAUGUAUUAUGCAAUAUACAUACCAUUGUCCAGAGACCGCACAAAACUUUAACUUAAUCACUGCCAUCUAGAGUUUAUAAUCCAAGAGCACCAAUGCCAAAAACUACAGGGAAACACGGACACAUAGAAAGGGCACCAUGAUAAAUAUAUCUUUUUUUAAUAAAAAAAAAAGCAAAUAUAAUGGAGCCUAGCUUAUGAAUGAACACAUUUUUAUCUUUUCAUUUAAAUAUUUUUUUCAGAUCCAAGCAGGUGGUUGGGAAAGAGAGAAUAAUUUAUUGCAUUUAUUUUCUAUCAACUAGGGAUGACUUUGGACAACAGCUCUUCCCCUUUUAACAUUUUUAAGAGACUGGCAAAGAGAAGAAGGUGGCAACCAGAGCUGCCUCAGUGGAGGGAGUACACACAGGUUUAAAUAAUGAAGGCAGGAGACAUCCCUUUACAGUCAGACUGCCUGGAUCUCAAUGCUGGCUCUGCCUCUCAUCAGCUAGACGACCCUAGGCAAACUCAUACUUCCAAACUUCUCAUGGGGCUUUCACAUGCUCACCAAAGGAAUUAACGAAUGAAGAAAUUUAUCCUAGUACUUGGCUCAUGGUGAGCAGCCAAUAAAUACCAGUUAUUAUUGUUAGUGGGAUAGUUAUCAUCCUAUACCAUCCCUACCCCCAAGCUUAGACAGGACCUCAUGUAAACAAUGCAUAAAAUUUUAACAUCUUCUUUUUUUAUUAAUCAUAUAAGAAUUCAACACUUCUGUUAGUAUAGAUUCUCCUUUUGUUCUAUAUCACGUAGGUCACUUCAAUUGCUUAUAUAUUUGCAUCUGUAUAGUUAUCAUUUAAUAUUCCAUGUUUUAAAAAGACCCACACAGCAUACAUUUUUAUGGGCAAGUCAUUGAAUAAAUAGCUUACUCAAUGGGUUUGUUGGUUUAUUAGGUAAUGGGAAGACCACUAGGCUGAGAGCCAGGAAAACUGGAUUCUAAAUAUUUUUUUCCACUUAUUAGCUCUGUAGUUGGGCCUCAGUUUCCUCACCUACAAAAUAGGUUGGAGUAGAAAAUAUCCAAGGUCCAUUCUGGCUUUAAUAGUCAGGAAUUCUACGACUCACAUAGGAAACUUUUCCUAGCAGAAUCUUUUUGCUUCCUUUCAAGUACAUAUUGAGAAAUAUUAUGUGCCUGGCCCUGUGCUUGGCCCUGAGACUCAAUGAGAUAUAAGUAGAGUUCUGUGUUCAAGAAAUUUACGGUCUAGCAGGGUAACUAACAUUACAUUACAGUGUAAUAACUGCUAUUUUACAGGUAACUCUUCAGAAUUAUAAGACCUGAUAGAAGCAACAUCUAAUGAAAUGGAGGCAAAUACAUGACGAGGGAAAGAGAAGGAAAAACUUUGUAGAGGAACUGGCACCUCAACUGUCUUAAGGAAUAAAUAAGAAUUAAGACAGAGGUGAGGAGAAAAUCAUGACAGGAGGAAAUAGUAUGUGUAAAGAAACAAACAAACGAAAAAGAGAGAGAGAGAGAGAGAAAGACAAGGCCAUGCAGAAAACUGGUAGUUAAGCAUGGCUGGAGGGCAGAGGGUAUGUGUGACUGGGUAGAGACGUGGCUUCUCCCUCUUUGCUCUUCCAUGUCUCUACAGUCAGUGUCAGUCCUAUAGACUCCUUUGGUGUCAGUUACCUUUCAUUGGCUGAUGAUUGACCAGUUUUCUAUUUUUGACCCAGAACCUGCAUUUGAACUUUAGACCUAUACAUUCAGUUCUCCAGUGACAUCUCUAUAGGUCAAGAGGCACCCUAAAUUCGUGAUCUUCACCCCCAAGGAAACACCUUCUCUUGUGUUCACUAUCUUGGUAAAUGGCAUUACCAUCCACCCAGUUGCUUGUGCUGGAGAUUUGGGUUUUAUCCUUGAUACUUUUCUUCAUCCCCAGUACCUCCACAAGGGGUAUCAAAUCCAGUCAAUUUCCAAGGCCUAAUAAUUAUGCCCCUAAAUGCAUCUUUAACCCAUAUGUUUCUCUCUGUUUCAGCUGCCACCACCCUAGUUUUAUUUGGACUUCACCACUGGGGGUUCUGGAGCCAAAUCUGAUCUCUUCAUAUUCCUAUUCAAAAUCCUUUGAUGGAAACCCGCCACCAUUCUUAGGAUGAAGUCCACAUUUCUUAAAAUGUUCUAAGGCCUUGAUUGAUUUCACUUCUGUCCCCCGAUCUUCAGCCCCAUCUGGGAUCCCCUUAUUCUCUUUAAUCCAGUCAUGCUGUCUGCCAUUACAUCACUCAAACAGUAUAGCCUCGUCCUACCUCAGGGCUUUUGCAUAUCUGUUUCCUCGGUCUGGAAGGUUCUUCUUUCCUCCACCGUCCCCCAUCUGUAACUUAGCUAACUGCUAUUCAUUUCUCAGAUCUCAGUUUAAAUGCCACUGCUGCGGGAGAAUUUUUCUUGACCAUUUCCCCUCUAGAUUAAGCUAGAUUCUCUAUUCUCAUAAUAACAUUUAAAUUUUCUUUGCAUCACUAUCACAGUAAUAUUCAUUAACAGUCAUUUUGUUAUAUUUGUGAUAUCACACUAGCUUCAUUAAUAGUUAAUUAUGUAACGGUCUGUUUAAUGUCUGUUUCCCCAGCUAGACUAUGUGUUCCGUGGUGACAAGGUCGGGUAUCUUUGGUUCACUAUGGUAUCCCCAAUGUCUAACAAAUAUUUUUGAAGGUAAAAGAAGAUGAAAGGGAGGGAGGGAGAAGUCAAAAAAUAUAUAAGGCUUGAAAAAUGCCCUUUGGAUUUAGCAACUAAGAGGUCAUGGAUGACUUCAGAGAAGGCAGUUUCAGUGGCGAGGCAUGGGUAGAUGCAGAUUGAAGUGGAUUAGGAACAAAAGGGAGGUGAGAAAGUGAAGACAGUGGGUGUAAACUAAUUUCAAGAAUCUUAGUCGUGGAAAAAAAGCAAUAUGACAGUAGAUAAAGGAAAGAUGUAGGAUCAGGGGAUGUUUUGCUUUCUAAGAUGAAAGAACUGAGCUUAUUUCUAUAGUUGAAGAGAAAGCAAUAAAAUAGAUAUAUAAAGUAAUGGAGAUGAAGGAUACAGAAAAAAAAGAAAAGAAAUUAAUGAAAGAAUAUUAGAGGGUUGUAGUAGAGGCUGGGAUUUAGAGCAUAUAAGCUAAGUUCUUUAAAAGUUAAAAGUCACCUCCUCAAUGAGACAUAAAGAAGGAAAGUAAAGGUAGGCAUAUGUAUGGAUUAAAUGGAGGUGUGGGGCUGAGAAAAUAAUGUGGAUGCUGCUUGAUAACCUGGAUUUUCUCCCAGUUGUAGGAGGCACUCAGAGGAAAGGGAUGGUAGGGAAGGGACAUAAAGAGAGAGGUAAAAGCUUAAAAUCAUUGUUGAGGGGAAUAGGAGAGGGAGCUGAUCAGGAUCAGGUCAUAAGAUUGCUGAACCUUGCCAAGGGAGAUUUGUGGUGCCAACCGUCCAUAUCAUUGUGUAAUUUUCUCCAGAAGUGCUCAGCAAUUUCAGUGAGGGAGUGAGAUGCUUGGAUUCUUCUAGGUCUGAGAGUUUGCAGGGGAAGAAGAGUUUGGAAGUUAAGAAUACCUGUUGGGGAGUAUUUGAGCUAAUAAACCAUUGGGUCUAAGUUAGAUAAAGAAGGAAACGAAGACACAGAGUGGGUGACAGGCUGAGUGUAAAUUUAGGGACACAAGGUUUGGAUAUUUUCUUGGAGAAAAGAAGCUAAAGGUUCUGAGAGCUAAGAGAAUGUAGGAGAGUGUAAUGAGAGAUUGUUACAUCAGCAUUUCAGAUGGAGAGGUGGAAGUUUCCUCUUCCAUGCAGAGGGAAUAAGUAGAUCCAGAUCUGCCACAGUGAUAGAUAUCGAAAGAGGGAUCUUUACAUCAGUCCUAAAAGGCAUGACAACAUCCUCACUUUCUCUUCCCAUUUCAUUCUAGGAAUUUCUUUUCUGCUCCUUGGGCCAGAUAACUGAAAGAGGGCGAAGGAGAAAAUGGGAAUAUGAUUUAUUCAUUAGUUGUUUGUCAGUUCGAACCAAUUCACUUCAAUAAGUAGUUAAUGCGUUAAUACCAGCUACCAAGGUGUUGCUGCAUGGUAGAGAUUCGGUGUUUGCAUUUGAGAUCCAUCAUUCUGUUAACUUUGUGGAGAAUACAUUUGGCUGGGGCUGGGGAGUGAGAGUGGGCACAAGACUGGAGGCAACAACAAUUUGACUUCACCAUUUAAUAAGGCUAUAACUUAGGAGUAUUUUACCUUUUGUGUCUUAAUCCCUUCAUCUGUAUAAUCGGAAUGCUAAUAGUAUGCAUCUUGUAGGUUCAUUGGGAAAUUAUUUAUUUAUAAGGUGUUUAAAACAUACCCUACAGAUUUCACGGCUGGAGCAGAAAAAGUUAUGAGCUUGGAAUAUCUUCAGUGCCUGAAAGUGAGGAAGUGCUCCCAAAAAUAUGAAGUCAAAAGGUACACGAAGCCAGCUUGAAGAGGCUUCCAUCAAAAUAAAUAAGGAAGUAAUGGAUUGUUGUCUACUGAAUAGAACAGGAAUCUGUUUCCCACUGGCCAAAUCCAACCAGCAGCCAUGGGACCCAGAAGCUCAGUGAUAGAGUCCAUAUAGGUUGGUCUCCACCAGCAAAGAAUAGAGCAGAGAAAGGAGUUUCGCCCUUGUCGCCCAGGCUGGAGUGCAAUGGCACAAUGUCA